CGCGCACCCCCGGCACGGCUCCCCGGCCCCGCCCGGAGCUGAGGGAGGACCCGGCGCUCCCCGCCCGGCGCCACACGGGGGGAGCUUCUCCUCAGCGCGGGCAGGUGGGGCCGCCCCGCCGCCCGCCCGCCUCAGCGCCGCGGGGCCGCGCCUGCCUCAGCCCGCGGCGCUCCCGGCUCGGCCGCUGCCCCUCGCCGGCAGCCGCCAGCAGCAGCAACAGGUCCGUGCCCGCUCCUCCCUCCGCCUGCCGGGCGAACAAAGGGGCUGAGCGCGGCCCCGCGCCCGCCCGGCCCCUCCGCCAGCCCGGCCCUGCGCUUCAGCCAUUUGCCUCGCCUGGCACGGCCGCGCCGCUCGCAGCCGCUCCCCGCUGCCGCUGCCGGGCGAGGCGCGGGGCCGCUGCCCGCGGGAGCUGCCCCGGGCGGCGCGGGGCUCCCGGCCGAGAGCUGAGCGGGGGGACAGCGGGACGGAGCGGGCCGGGGUCGCGGAGCCUCGGGGGAGGGCUGGUGCCCGCAUCUGCCGAUAUUGCCGGAUCAGGACCAAUUGAUUGGCAAUGCUGCACCCUUUCCUUCAUCCUAAAAUGCUCCUUGGAUGCUAACUGGCAGUUUUGGCUUCGGAAGCAUUACAAGACUGGGGGGAUUGCAUAUGAGGAACACUGAUGUGAAGAGAACUUCCUGAAGGUCAUGCAAAGUUAAAUUUGGCUAGGGGGGAAUCGCCUUCCAGAAUAGACUGCAGCCUCAGCCUUCCACUGAAACAGUUGCACAAGGUGAAUACAUUUUGACAGUACUCCUAAGUAUCUGCUGUUAAAGGAGAUUUUUGCUCAUCACCCGGUGCAGUGUAGAGGGGACCAGUUAUCUUGAGAAGGAUUGCAGUGCCUGCAGAUUGCUUAAAAUUUCUGCAGAGAAACGGGAAAACCAGAAUUGCUUUUCAGGCUGUUGAGGUGCUCAUCGGGGCGAUCCCCCGUCCCACCAAAAGAGCUCAGGUUUUCAGGGGCUCAGCUAGCGCAGUUAGCCGCGGGAGGCGGCCGAGCCGCAGGGUGGAUCCCCCAGGGAAAGGAGAAGCUGCGGUUUAGCCCCGGAAGCCAGAGACGGUCCCGCCUGCGAGAGCGGCGGCCCCGAAUCCUAAUCCAGGGGGGCGGGGGGGAAAGAGGCCGCGGGGCAGCGGAGGAGGGCGCAGAUGCUGAGCGCUGUUGGUCCGUCCCGCAGGUGAUGGCCGCGCCGGCAGCGCUCCGCACGGACCAGGCGCGGCGCC
rnacentral:lncRNA from 1 species